ensembl:misc_RNA Metazoa_SRP Metazoan signal recognition particle RNA
GCUGGGUGUGGUGGCGUGCACCUGUAAUCCCAGCUACUUGGGAGGCUGAGGCAGGAGAAUCGCUUGAGCCUGGGAGGUGGAGGCUGCAGUGAGCCAAGAUUGCAUCACUGCACUCUAGCCUGGGCAACAGAGCGAGACUCUGUUUCAA